ACCCGUUUGCUGAUGCGAAUGCUGAGGACUCAGGUGCGGGAACAAAGGAGUACGUCCACAUCUGUGUGCAGCAGCGCAAUGGUAGGAAAAGCUUGACAACAGUCCAAGGGUUGAAGAAAGAGUAUAUUUACAGCAAUAUACUUAAGGACCUCAAGAAAGAGUUUUGUUGCAAUGGUACAUUGGUUCAUGACUGAACUUGGACAGGUUCAUGUUUUUUUUACAGCAAGAUACUUAAUUACCUCAAGAAAAAGUUUUGUUGCAACGGAGGUUGCUUGAUUAAUUAUGCUUUGGGCUGACAGUCCUCCGCACACGUAUCGUAGGUAAGUGUACAGAAUCUGAUCUCCUUUACAAGAUUGCAGCAAUAACAUUUAAAGUCUCCUGGUAGACAAGUUGAUGGAAAGCACGUUGGUAAAUCUAUCUUGCUUUCCUCAAGGCCCUCCAUGUUUCUACCUAUUGUAGAAUUAAAGCAAUGAUAUGAGUGUGAUUACAAUGAUAAUGAUAUGAAGUUGAUGAACAAACCUGAAAGAACAUGCAUAUGUACUUACUUGCAAGACAACCAAAAAGCAAAACGAAGAUGAUGCAAAAGAUAGCGCAACUGGAAGACGACAUUGUGAUGAUUAAUUCUUUUCACAAAAAGUUUGCCUUUGUUAUAUGAUGAUCAAAACAAUACAUAUAAACAUAUAUAUAUAUAUAUAUAUAUUUCAAAUUA